AUGAAAACGAAAUGAAAUGAGAUGAGAUGAUAUGGGAUGAAAUAUAAUCUCAGUAAAAUGGUGGUCAUUUACUGACAUUUUUUCAGUGGACUUUUCGGAGGAUCCCGAGAAGUUACGUUCAGCGGGUAGUCGUAAUAAAAUCAACUCUGAUGCCGAGAGAAAUGGGAUCACCUCAAGCAAUUCUCAGAAGUCUCCCACAAAUCACAGUGUACAAAAAACACCAAGAGAACGGAACUCCAUCCGGAAUCAUGAAUUUGUUAUUUAUUAUAAUUUAGGAUCAUGUUUGUUAUUCUUAACCCAUAUAGGAUAUUGUAAUUUACCCAGUCUAUAAUUCACUACACUACGGAUUUUUUUGAUCAUGAAUUUUUAUUUUUGUUGCAAAGGUUCGUUCCUGUAAUUUUUCAACGCGUUGAGAUGUUUUUCUAGAAAGCCACUCAUUUGCACAUCACUUUGUAAGCAUUCUUUGAGUACGAUUUAUGAAUAUUAUGUAAUCUUCUUCUUCGUCGCUUCUUCAUUACUGAGCCGUGACCACCUUGGUCUAGUUUCUGCACCAGCUUCCUCCAACGUUGCCUCCAUUCGGCCUGCUUAAGCUGGUUGGGACGCUGGUGUUUGUGGCCUCCCUGACAAUGUCCGUCCACCUGGUUGGCGAUCUUCCUCGACUUCUCUUUCCUUUCACGUGACCUACAACUAUUAGUUUUUCCAAGUUGUCAGGAUUUCGUCGGGCCGCGUGUCCGAAGUACUUGAGGAGACGCUGCAUACAGAUUGUAGAUAGACGGGUCUUGACGUUUAAUAUUUAAUUAAGUAAUAUGUAAUAGGUAUUUCCUAUGAAGUUGCCGUUUCGAAAUACAAGCUCAUUGAAACGUAAAUUAUAUACACAAAUUCAAUCUGGCAAUAAGUCUUGAAUUCAAAUAAACAUUAUUUAAAAAAAUA